GAUCUCGUAGCUCAGCUGGUAGAGCACAACACUUUUAAUGUUGGGGUCNNACAAGUUUUAGACACCC
rnacentral:tRNA from 1 species